rnacentral:rRNA from 1 species
CGCUGGCGGCAGGCUUAACACAUGCAAGUCGAACGCCCCUCCUUCAAGCAAGCUUGAAGGAUUUAUCCUUGAAAAAGGGAGUUCAAGAAGAGCUUCGAAGAAGCUUUCUUGAUGGAGGGGAGUGGCAGACGGGUGAGUAACGCGUGGGAAUCUACCCAUCCCUACGGAAUAACGCAUGGAAACGUGUGCUAAUACCGUAUACGCCCUACGGGGGAAAGAUUUAUCGGGGAUGGAUGAGCCCGCGUUGGAUUAGCUAGUUGGUGGGGUAAAGGCCUACCAAGGCGACGAUCCAUAGCUGGUCUGAGAGGAUGAUCAGCCACAUUGGGACUGAGACACGGCCCAAACUCCUACGGGAGGCAGCAGUGGGGAAUAUUGGACAAUGGGCGCAAGCCUGAUCCAGCCAUGCCGCGUGAGUGAUGAAGGCCUUAGGGUUGUAAAGCUCUUUCACCGGAGAAGAUAAUGACGGUAUCCGGAGAAGAAGCCCCGGCUAACUUCGUGCCAGCAGCCGCGGUA